AACGCACACCGCAUUUUCAGAAAACAGUAUUUGACUGCAUUGUAUCUUAACUGCGGCAUGAGGAAUCCAGUUCCCUGACCAGGGAUCAAACCCCUGCUUAGGGCGCAUGGAGACUUAGUCAGUGGAUCAGCAGGGAAGUCUCUGGACACUGCAGUUUACAGAAGAAGAAACCAAGGCUCAGCGCCAGAAGGACGCUCAUCCCUGGUUACAGCGAAGACCUACUGUGCAGAAAACCUUCUCAAGGUGGACACUUAGUGCAAAUGGCGGGCAGCCAAGGUGCGUGAGAAGACCAUCUCUGUGGUGCUCCAGUUCCUCACCUAGCGAUUGAACCUGCCGCCCAGCCCCCUGCUCCGUUGGAGGCGUGGAUUCUCACCCACUGGACCACCACAGAAGUCCUCAACUGCUUGAUUUUGGCCACAUUCAUCCCUCCGAUGUAAGGAUGUUUGGGAAAGGAUGGUCGGGACUAGGCCUACCGGAUUGUGUUAAAUAUAUUA